rnacentral:lncRNA from 1 species
AAUUUUCAAAUUUAAUGUGGUGCUAAUAAGAGGAAGAGCUUCCAAAUGAUGCAGAGAUAAAAUGUUUCAGGAAUAAAUAAAUAAAAACCUAAAGAUAAAUCUGAAAAUACAAUAAGCAUAAAGUUUAGUUUGCAAACUAUAUAUUAUCUUGACCAAUCACAGUAUGACUUAUUCAAUGUAUAUUGUCUAAUAUCUCUCUAUGUUGACCAUUCCUAGUUUUCUUUAUAGAAAAGAAAAAUAUCAACUUAAUUGAUAUUGUAUAACUGAUCUCCGGAAAAAAUCCUCAUAACUUAAGUCGAAAAGAAAAGCUUUUCCAUCAAAUCCAAUUACAAAGAAUGUACCGCAAUUACAUGUAGUAGUGUAACAUAUAGCAAGACUGGUGGAUCAAUUAAAGUGAAGACUCUAGAUUAAUCAAGUCCUAAAUGAGGUACAUUCAAUUGGGUUAAAGAUUAUGCAACUACCUUAUGCGGCUAAUCCAUUAGGAAAUGUUGAUACUUUAGGCAACUUUUUACAAUAAUUUUUCAUUGAUAAAUUCCCUUCCUGAUUUUUGUAAUAUCAAUAUCAAAAUACAUUAUACGUAUUUGAGUAAGUUUAGCUAUAAUAGAAGAAAUGAAGAUGAAUAAUCAUAAAUUCAUUCAAUAGAGAUAAACCUGCUCCAAGUUACCAUUGAUCUCUAUUGUACAACCUUAAAUUCAUGAAAAUACCCUUAAAGAAACAAAAACAACUGUAAAAUCUAAUUAAAAGAACAAAAUAUAAAAAGGUUGAAAUGGAAAAAGUGAUGAUAUAAGUUUAAAUGUUAAUCUUAUUCUUUUUUUUUUUGUUGAUAAAAAAUGUUAAUCUUAUUCUUUGUUAAGGUUUAACAUUGUUCAGUCGAUUCUAAGAACCAUCAGACAUGAUUUUUUCUCCUGCACAUAUACAAAUUAUCAUUUGACAUAUAAAAAGUGCUAAGCUAAGUUUGUGACUCAAGAGUUAAGAAGAAAUGCACAAUACAUCUGUUGAGAUAUAUUGUUUGUACUUUUAGUUCAAAUUGUGUAUCUAAUUACUCUGAUGGCCCAAUAUUUUAUAAUUCUAGGAGCUCACUUAUAGAUGCUCCUAGAAAAUGUUAUUUGGGGGUGAUGCAAGGAGAAGCAUAUUGUAAGCACGGACCCGACAUAAUGAAUCUUGAUUAAGGAAGAUCUGUACGUGCCAAAAACAAUAGCAUAACGAAACUCAUACCAUUUAGAAAAGCAUAAUGGUACUUAAGCACUUUAUGCUGAGGAAUAAAAAAUUCAUGUAGCAGAUUGAUUUAGAAAGAAAGAAAAGGAAUUCAUAUUUGCCUCUUUAGUCUUAUAAGUGUAACAUCUCGAGGAGGAGUAAGAACAUCUCAACUCUCAUCCUAAAACAAAAAUGUAAGUCGUCUAUAGAGAAUAGCUUGUCAAAUGACUAACAAUAUAUAUUAACCAUCCUAAAAUACAUUUGUCGACAUCUAAUAUAUAAUCUCAUCAAAGUCACUCUCUUACAUUUAAAACUUCGAAUGUUAAAUAUAUAUGUACCUUUUGAUGUUUGAACUCAACACCUUCCACCAACUCCAAAGGUGGAAAGGAGGUGGAAUAAUUAGUGAUUUUCUUAGUAUACACAUUCACGACACAAUGAGUGUUAGAACUUGUACCAUGACAUAGCCAAAGUAAGGAAAAUAUCUUGCAUGUAUAAAGAAAAAAAAUAGAAAUGUAAGAUGCAGCAUACUUGAUUUAGGCAUCUAGGGUAUUCAGUAGUAGUAUAUUCGUUCAGUAACAACUUUCAAGCAACAAUCUUCUCCAUUUACCAUUUUAAUUAUAGAAAUCAAGCCCAUAGAGUUAAGGGUAAAAAAAUAAUUUAAAAAGAAGAAGUUCAGCAACAUUAACUCUUUUAGUUUCUACCACUACAUGCCUGUACAUGACAUAUAUAGGCUUAGCUUUUAAUUUUUUUUUGUUUCGUGGUGGUUCAGAAAAGAGUAGGAAUACUAUCAAUUCCUUGUUUAGCUUUAAAAAAAAAUUGUUCAACUAAACUCAUAGAGAGUUGCGGAAAGGAUGAGAAGAAUUUCUUACCGAGUUACUUUGAAAUGCAUCGUCAAACGGGUUCUACCAACUGCAUUUGAUGUAUGGCUGACCGUAGUUCUUCGAAAGAUGCUCAACUGAUCAUUUUGUGGGAGAAACAUUUAAAAAAUUAGGUAUGCAUCUAUAGAUAUUGUUGCUCAUAGAUAAUGGCAUUACCAUAUUGCCUUGAGAAAUGGUGCUUUCUUAUUGAAAAAUUCCUGAAAAAAGAGCAAUAUAUCUGAGGAACUUUUAGAAAUUAGUUUACAUGCUAUAAGUUCUUCAGCAAUGAAGCUUGACAGCUAGCUCUGUACUCAAGAAUUUCUUAGCCAUUUUGUUCUACUUAUUUGAGCCUAAUAUCAAGAAAAAUGAACCAUGAAAUCUAUAUAUUUUUACACAUAGAAAAAACAAAUAAGGUCAACUAACAAUAUGAUUAAAAUGUGACAGUGAAAUGUGUUAGAUGAAAAAAAGAAAGAAGCAAAGUUCAAUUUUGCUUUAUUGUUUGAGGCAAUUGAAACAUGCUUUCUACCAUAUUAACUGAACAUAUUCUUCAACUAUACUAAACAAGUUAUUGUACAUCGUGACAACUCGAACAACGCUGUAAACCUCGAAAGGACGAAAACAUAGCAUGCUUGCUAGAAAAAAACUAAACAAACAUUGUUGUGACAACAAUAAGAAUCGCGAAAAAGAUUGUACAUACUUCCUAGUUUGAAUAGUUCACAGAAGCUUUUUCUUGAAAUAAGCGCCCAUAAUUCCUUGCUAUAAUAUGAUACUUUGAGUACAACACUGUAAAGAGAAAUCGUGACGGGGGAGGACCUAUACCAAUUAGGAAAGCUUAAGUCGUAAAGUGUAUUUAUUUUUUUCAUCAAAUUACGUAUAGUCCUGCAAUCAAAUUCACCAGAGAUCGGUGGUGCUUGAUCGAAGCUCCAGUCCACAAUAGAUUCAAAUUUAGGGGUAUAUAGUUAUUAACCAAUACCAAGGUAGAAAAUCUGGAAAAAGCUAGAGAGCACAGACAAAUUGGUUUACCUCCGAAAUAGGAUGACUAAAUUAUUAAUCACAAAAAUCAAACACAAUCAAUAAAACAAAAAAAGGAAAACUUGAAAUAUAACAUGAUAUAAAGUCGGUGGGAAGAGAUUAAGGACAAAUCAUGAAUCAUGAAAAAUCUACAGGAGAUAUUACCUGAAAUCAGUGGACGGAGCGAGCUCCUUUGGAUAAUAGAUAAGAGGCAUGCACAGUGAAGAUGCGAGGAAGCAAACAAAAAUGAUAAGAAAAAUAGAUGAGUGUGUGAGGCAAUACACGUGACAAGAGCUUAAAUCAUCGAGAGUUCACCUUGACAGACAGGAAUUACCAAUUUUCCCUCAUUUAUGUGAAGGCAGACAUGCCUGAUUCACCUGGUAGAACUCCCUCUUAUUGAAUAGUAGGCAUGUAUCUCGUAGUUUAGAUGCCUCUAACUAAAUGAUUUGUGUACAACCUCUAGAACGUUUAUAAUUAUCAUCAAUCAUUUAGAAUAACAUUAUAUGUUAUGUACCAUCACCUUAGUUAUUAUAAUACUACAAAGACUUGGUCACUUGGGAGAUUGAAAAUAAAUACCUCUCCAAAAGUUAUUUUCAACCUUUUUGUCCAUCUGAAACCAUUCAUUUAAAAACUCAAAUACUUAAGACAGAAACCUUUGAGGAUGAUAAAGUUUCAAAUCCAAUUUCGAACACCAAAGGUUACGAAAAUGAAUUUUACUUGCUUGGGAAAAUAUGGAAGAAAGAAGCAGCACAAGGGUUCCAAUUUGAAAUAUACCUUAAACAUUAAAUGAAAAGCUCAACACAUGUAACAGUUACUCGCGUCCUUCCAUAUAAAGAUACGACAAAAAAUAUCAAUACAUUUAGGUGCCUCAUAUUAUAAGAUUCUUAUCACGCCCUUGAUGUAAUAAUGCAUAAUGCCCUUUUGGUUAGCACACUUACUCUUACACGACAGUGAUGUAGAACAAUUCCAUUACCUAUCUAUGCUUUUAACAAAGUAAUGUGGAGCAUAUAUGCAAGGAACCAUAACAAUAACAAUAAGUGUAAUCACCUAAACACAGUAAACCACAGCAAACCACAGCCAGAUGCAGGAAUGAAAAACCUUGAAAAAAUAUUAAGAAAAGAUGAAAGAUACUCAAAUGAUUUCAAGAACUUACAGUUUUUAGAAAAUGUUGCAGAGCUAAUUCUUGGUCCUUCUCAUUCUUUGACAAUUGUUUUCCAACUUUGGCAGCUCAUUGACAUUUUUCUCCACAAUGAAUAAUGACACAUAACUCCAUUUGGGAGCUUCAAAAUCCAAAGCCUUUCUUCAUCUAUCACCUCAAAUCAAAUGUGUUGGAGAUACAUACCUAGCUUAGUAGCCAACCUUUGCUAUCCCAGAAACCACAUAACAGAGAGGUGUUUUGAAAUACCUUCAAAAACCAAGUAAACACCAAUCGUCAACUAAAGAAGUCUAAAACUGAGUGCAAAAAUAAAAAUCAGAGAGAUAUAAAUUAACAUUAAAAGAUACGUAUGUUUCAUCUAGGAAAAAAAUUAACAGAUAGACCCUCAUGUUAAUUGCAAACUUGUAGACAACUUCAACUGAAAUACAUAAAAAUUUGUAUAAAGUUUGUCAGGAUCUUAUUGAUUUGGUGAGUAAUUCAGGUAAACUCAAGUGUCAUUGUUUGAUGCCUUACCGCGAUGUCGUAGUAGCUAUUUCAAAUAUAUCUUGUCGACAUUUCUCAAUGAAUCUGCAGUCACAAAGUGAACGCCAAGUAAAUAAUUGGUGAGAGCUUAAGAACAACAUUUUUCAAAAUGUAAGUAAUUCUCAGUGCAAUAAACUAAAAAAUAACUUAAAACAACAAAGUAAGUGAUAGAUUAAAGCUAUGAACUUCAUAUUUCCUAGCGCAAGUGACUUCCAAUAGCAAACUGUAUAAAUGUAGGAGUAAUUUAGGAUAGUAUGUCAUCAAAAGAUAUUGCUAGCUUCAAGUUACGACAUACACAGAGAGUUUUAAAUUUGAUGUUGCUACAAUAAACAGUGCAUUAGUUAUUUAUCCUAAUAAUUUAUCUCAAUUAUAAGGUGUUGGGGGAAAAGGUCAAUGAGCAUGUUUGUGUUGCCUAUGGGUUCUGUGUGUAAUUUUAAGAGGUGUGUUGGUGUAGAUAGCUAACACAAAGUAGGCCAGGGUUCAUUUAACCAACUGAAACAGCAAUAUGAACCUCAAUGGAGCAAUAUGAUAAUUUAAUUAAUCACGAGAAAGAACUAUUGAAAACCCAAGGCAAUCAAAGAAUUGAUACGCACGUCGGAGCAAGUUCUCCCAGGCUCUCUAACUCUUCUACCAGAAAUUUCAAGAAUAUAAGACCCGUCUCUGUCUGCUAUUCAUACAUUCUAGAGUUAUUGGCGGUGAAGCAGGAAAUAUAUAUGGUCUAUGAAAUUCAGGAGGAAGAAGGAAUAUACCCAAUGCCAUGAAUACUUACCUUAAAUGUUACUUUAUUCAGGAUCUUAAUUGAUUUGGAACACCCAACAGUGAAAAGGAAGAGAACUGAAAGAAUAAGUUUUUUGAAAGCUUUGAAAUUGAGAACCGUAAGGGCAAAGAUUGAGAGAACUGACCUGGAAUCGCAACAUCUGAAGCGUUACCAUGGAAGAACUACUCGGGUAAGAGAAAUGCAGAAGAGAAAUGAACACGAGUAGACCAUAGUUGUCUAGAUGUUUCUAUACCUUUAAAGGUGGACAAAAUAUCUAAAUUGUCAUUAUGUUAGCUGUGAAAUUACAAUGAAGUUAGAAAUAGCACUUAACAUACCACAACAAACGAAUUAGACUACUUACCUCGUUCAUUGAAUUGAUAUUGGAAGGGCUAAAAUAUUAAACCGUGGCAGAGUUGGAGGCAUGGAAGCCUUGCGUAACCAUGAUUCCUAACGAUCACAUACCAAUUAAAUCUCACACUUUUGUUGUCGCCAACAGUGAUGACGCUGAAAGAGGACGUUCCUAAGUAUUCUUGAAAGCUGAAAAAGGAGAACUGAAGGUUGUUCUGUUUUGGAGAAUAGUCGAGUAGCAAGCACAACCUACAAUAAACAGAAUUAACACUACUCUGUAGAUAAAAGAAUUUAUCAUGUACAAUAUAUUUAACACGCUAAUCUUAUGUAAGAUAUUGAGAGGCCAUUCAAAAGGUAUAUAGAAAAACAGAUUUGAAAGAAAAUCAACAUUUAUCGUCAUCAACAUCACCAAAUAGAAUAACUUGAUAUAAUGAUGAUUUAGUUUUUUAUUUGUAAGAAUUCUCGAGGAUAAUUAUAUAUGUUAAUAAAACAUGUUGGGUUCUUCUAUGAGCAACUGUAAAGGAAAGUGUGUAAAAAUAAAUGAAUAAGCUCACAUAAAUUUUUCAGUUAGAUUUCAGUGUGCAAGAUUUGCACAAAGUGAGAAGAAGAUGAGCCCUCAAAUCAUUAGUUACCGAUCCCAGUAAUUUAAUUUCAAUAUCUAUCUGAAGGGCAUAAUAACUAUGAUUUUAACAAUUGCCUAUCUCUUCUAUAAGGAAUCGCGAUAUAGUCGACAUUCUAAUACAGAGAAGGAAUGAGAGAGAGAACUUAGAGCUAAGAGUACAGAGUAACUGAAUUCAGAUUACGGUGUUUGGGAGAGAACAACCUAAGCCUACACGUCAGCCAUAAAAUUGAGAGAUUGCUGCGAAAUUUGAAGAAGAACAUAUCUAAAACUAUGAAGACUUGCGAAUCCAUUCAUCGUUAUUGGAACAAGAGGGAGGGAAGACGUGAUGCUUCUAGAAAUAUGAUUGGGCAUAGAGUGAGUUGAAAUUUUGCAUUUGGAGUGUGAAAACUGAUGACAGAUGAUUCUAGAACUACCGAGUGAAUUGUUACUAGGGGUGUUCACGGGUUGGUUUGGGUCGGUUAUUGGUCAAAACCAAAACCAAACCAACUUAAUCGGUUUUAAAAUUAUCAAAACCAAACCAAACCAAAUAUAAUAUACAUUUAUCGGUUUGGUUGUUUUCGGUUUUGGUUUGGUUUGGUUUGGUUAUUCGGUUAUUAUAAGUAAAUUAUAAAAAUAAAUUUUGAUGAAACAUAUAUAAAAUCUUUAAAAUUGUUUAUGAAUAUAAUAUUAUGUAUGUAUAAUAAUAAAAUUUAUGUAUAUAACUUGUUGGUUCGGUUUGGUUAUUUCUUCGAUUUUUUUCAAACAAAAUCAUAACCAAACCAAUGACUAUCGGUUCUUAACAAUCUAAAACCAAACCAAACCAAAACCCAAAUUAAAUCGGUUCAUUUAAUCGGUUUGGUCUGGUUUUUCGAUUUGGAUCAAUUUUUAUACAAACCAUGAACACCCCUAAUUGUUACUGUAAAUUUACUUAUUUGCCCCUGGUCGUCCUCUCAUCACAUUUCUAUAUAAUAGAAAUAUAUAUAUAUAUAUAAACACGGUAUUGGUAGCAUUAUGAUUUCUUGUUCAGUAUUACUCACUAGUCAAUGAUACUAUAAGAGUAUAUGUAUGAUACUUAAAAAGGCUCGCAAUUUCUUUACUUCUAUAAAAUAGAAGUUAAGAGCCUGUUAAUUUAUUUUAAGUAUUUUUAAAUUAGAAUAGUUUCAAAACACUUUUUAAAUAUUUGGGUAAUUAAAAAAUAUUUACAAGUACUUGAUUUUAAGCUAAAAUAAUAAAAAUAAGUCAAAAAUUAAAAGCUAAAUAUCCAUUGAAACAUACAUCAAAUUAGUUCAUUUGUGCUUCAAGAGAAAUAAAAUCACUCUAUCCCCUAACUUCUUUCUCGAAUUUCCUCAUUUUUAAUUAUAUCUAUCAUAGUAAACUCAUACAUCCAUCUCUAUAUUUUUAUUUUCACCACCUUCAUUUUCUGAAUAUGAGAUUUUUAACUAACCAACAUUCCGUCUAUAUAAUAAAGUUGGUUCAACCAUAACUUGCUUUAAAGUUUAAAUAAUAAUUUGCAUCUAAAAAACUUGGAAAAAUCCCUAACUAAAAUUUCAUUUUCAAACCUCUAAUUAUCCUUUAAUUUGGAGAUGACUAUUAAUGUGCGAUCAUUCAACAUCAUCCAUACAGGGGCCGACCCACGUAAAGUCUGUCAGAUAUUUGAGCACCCAUUAAUCUCGUCUUGGAAUACAUACAUCUAUAUACAAAUCAAGAGAUAUUUGUAUAAAAUUAACAUAGAGCACCCAGUGAACAAAUGAUCUGAUUGAUCCAUUUGCUCUUGGGUGGAUGCUUAAGGUUCUUUUAGUGUUGUUGAGCCGGGUUUGAAUCUCAUUAUUAACAUAUCUUUUUUAUAUUUUUUAUUCCUGUAGGAAUUGGAUAAAUAAUUCCUUUACUAGUCAGUUAAAUAAUUAAGUUGAUUAGUUUAAAUGUUAGUUAGAAGGUGGGGUCCACAAAGUUGUUAGUUAGUUAGUACGAGUUGAUAUUGUGUAGUUUGUAUAUAAAGCACUAUUGAUUGUAAAUAAAGUCAGUUGAUUAGGCAAUAAAACUUUCUCUUCUUCUUACUCAAUUGUUAGAUUACAGUUUCUAUAUGGUAUCAGAGCAUUGAAUCGAGUUUGAUUCAACUGCGUGAAGCUACGAUCCUGUGUUUCUGCCAUUGAAGACUUUCUGUGGAAGCAGAGGUAAUGGCGAACAACGAAGAAUCAACUGCAGCUGCAGUUAGAAUAGAGACGCUUGAUGAAAUUGAAAAGAAGCGUAAUCAUCCUCUGUAUCUUCAUCCUUCAGAUACUCCUGGGUGUGUUCUCACCACAGUACAGCUCACAGGAACAGAAAACUAUUCUCUAUGGAGCAGAUCUAUGCUAAUCAAUCUCAGAGCUAAGAGCAAAUUAGGGUUCGUGUUGGGAACAUGCAAACGAAGCGAUUAUCAGCUGGAAUUGGAAGAGCAGUGGGAGAAGUGCAAUUGUUUUGUACUUGCCUAGAUUAUGAACACAGUCUCCAAGGAAUUACUUAGUGGAAUUGUGUAUAUAGAUGAUGCAGCGACUGUAUGGAAGGAUCUCAAAGAGAGAUUCGACAAAAUCGAUGGAUCAAGGAUCUAUCAGCUCCAUAGAAAGAUCUGCACAAUUCAUCAAGGUAAUUCGACUGUCUCUAACUAGUUUAUGAAACUGAGGUUGUUAUGGGAUGAGUUUGAUGCAUUUGUGCCUCCACCGUCAUGUAAUUAUGAUAAAUCGAGGACAUAUGUAGAUCACAUGGCAUACUUAAGGUUGUUUGCUUUUCUGAUGGGAUUGAGUGAGGUGUAUGGUCAGGCGAGAAGUCAGAUCCUAAUGAUGAAUCCAUUACCAAAUGUUAGCGAAGCUUAUGCUAUGAUAAUGGCAUAUGAAAGUCAGCGUACAACUGCAGAGACUCAUUCUAGUAGAGAACCAUUGGAUUCAGUAGCCUUAUAUGCAGGGAAAGGCCCUCCUCAAAAGGACACAAGGAAUUUUCAGCAGAAGAAAAAAAAUUGGGAUCAGUUUUGUGACUAUUGCAAGUUGUAGGGACAUGUUAAACUGAACUAUUACAAAUUGAAUGGAUAUCCACCGGAUUGGAAGUUUAAGAAGAAAGCUGGACCAGGAGUUGAUCAGGGAGGAACUAGUCAACAGCAGGGAUUGCAGAUCACUGACAAACAACACCAACAUCUGGCCAACCAAGUGAGAUAUGAGCAUGAUCCUGAUGCAUUUGGACCAAGAGCUUUGCCAACUGUAAGAUAUGAGUAGUCUUCUGAUGCACUUGGACCAGGAGUUUUGGCGACUCAUCCUACUUUCACUCAAAGGCAAUACCUAAGAAUUAUGCAUAUGCUGGACAAGGAAGACGGUGAAGCAGUUGAUAACACUGUGGCAAAUAUAGCUAUGGCAGGUAUGAGUCCAAUUACUCAAGCUUUUUUUGUGAAUGCUGAAAAAGGAAGCUGGAUAGUUGAUUCAGGGGCUACAUGUCACAUGACUUCAAAGUUAGGAAGGUUAACUCACAGUAGAUAUUGUGUAGGUAAAAAAGUGUAUCUACCAAAUGGAGAAACUACUACAGUAACACACAUUGGUGAUUGUGACAUAACUAUUGGUGAAUCAAUAAAAAAUGUCUUAGUAGUUCCUGCCUUUAAUUGUGAUCUGCUCUCAGUAUCUCAAAUCACCAGACAAUUAAAGUGCUCAGUUAAUUUCUUCCUUGAGUUUGUUGUUUUCCAGGACCUCUCAAAUGGGAGGGUGAAGGGGAUUGGUAAGGAAUUGGAUGGAUUGUAUUACCUUCCUAGUCGACCAACACAUGGAGAAAAUAAAGCAAAUGAGAUGCUAUUGAUGGCACAAGAUGGAACACUAAAUGGUAGAUUGUUAUGGCACAACAGGUUAGGUCACCCUUCAGCAAAGGUGUUGAGCCAACUGUCAUUGUCUUCAAGUGAUACAGAUGUUGCUUGUGAUAAAUGCCCUGUGUAUCCAUUAGCAAAACAUACCAGAUUUCCUUUCAAUUUAAGUUUGUGUAGAAGUACUUCUGUUUUUUAUUUGAUUCACUUAGAUGUUUGGGGACCAUAUAAAGUGAUGACUCACAAUGGUUAUAGAUUCUUCUUGACUAUUGUUGAUGAUAAUUCUAGAAUGACAUGGGUGUAUUUGCUUAAAUUGAAAAGUGAUGUGUUUCAUACCUUACAAUCGUUUCUUGCAUUUGUUCAAACUCAGUUUCAGAAACAGAUAAAAAGGGUGAGAUCUGAUAAUGGAACUGAAUUUUUUAACAAAGAAUGCAAUGAAUUGUUUAGAAAACAAGGGAUAGUUCAUGAAAGUGGUUGUCCAUACACUCCACAACAAAAUGGAGUGGCAAAAAGGAAACAUAGACAUAUACUUGAAGUAUCCAGAGCACUCAGAUUUCAUGGACACAUACCUCUUCGGUUCUGGGGAGAAUGUGUUCUUGCAGCUGUGUAUUUGAUAAAUAGGCUGCCAACAACAGUAUUGAAGGGACAGACCCCAUAUGAAGCUUUCCAUAAGGUGAAGGCUAAGCUAGAUCAUCUGAAGACAUUAGGAUGCUUGUGCUAUGCGACAAGAGUGCCUAAAGCUGACAAAUUUUCCCCUAGAGCAGAUGCUUGUAUUUUCCUGGGAUAUUCAGUUACUCAGAAAGGAAACAUAUUGUAUAACUUGAGUCAGAAAAGGAUGUUGGUUAGUAGAGAUGUUCUUUUUAAAGAAGUUAUAUUUCCUUUUGAGAAGAUGAGUACAAAGCAGUUACCCCUAUUUCUAGUUAAUGAUCUGACACUUCAAGACGAUGACAUUCAUGAAGUAACUCAUCAGUUCCCACAUGAGGAGAUAUUUCCUGAUGUUGCCUUACCAUAUAUGAGUACAGUUGAAGGGAAUGAUCAUGUUGAUCAUAAUGUUGCUGAAGAUCCUGUUGAUCACAAUGUUGCUGUAGAAGGAGGGUCUAGACAGUCACUUAGAACAUCUCAUCCACCUAUAUGGAUGAAGGAUUAUGUGACACAAGUCUCAGAUUCAAGCCAGCCUUACACACUUGGAAACUAUGUCUCAUAUCAGCACAUUUCUCCACAUUAUGUUGCAUAUUUGUCCAAAUUCUCCACAGAGGUUGAACCUAGGAGCUAUGAGGAAGCUAUUAAGGAUCAAAGGUGGGUAGAUGCUAUGAAAGUAGAGAUCAAGGCACUAGAAGAUAAUGGGACGUGGGAGUUGGUGAACUUGCCAACACAUAAGCUUGUUAUUGGAUGUAAAUGGGUUUUUAAGAUCAAGUAUCAAGCUGAUGGACAGAUUGACAGAUUCAAGGUAAGACUGGU